rnacentral:rRNA from 1 species
AACUUUUAAGUCAAAAGGGUUAAAUGUUUAUAAAAGACGAGAAGACCCUAUAGAUCUUUAUUUAAUUAAAAUUUUAAUAAUUUAGGAUUAUUUUAAUUUAAAUUUUUAAUUAAAUUUUAUUGGGGUAAUAUAAAGAUUAAAUAAAUUCUUUUUAUUAAUUACAUUAAUUUAUGAAUAUAUGAUCCAAUAUUAUUGAUUAUAAGAUUAAGUUACCUUAGGGAUAACAGCGUAAUUUUUUUGGAGAGCUCAUAUCGAUAAAAAAGUUUGCGACCUC